UUGGUAAUCAAUACAUUUUUUAUUUUAUUUAUUUAUUUAACAUUUCAUUUUGGACACAGAGGCGGUCCAUAGAACAAUAAAAAUAAAAAACAAAAAAAUGCACAUAUACACUAUGAUGAAGACUAAUGACCUUAAAAUUGAUAUUAUUUUCAUUUACCAGUUCCACAUGCAUAGUUAUCCUAUUAAUUAAAAUCAAUAGAUUAACACUUUUUGUUUAGUUAUUUAUUUUUCUUCACCAACAGAAUUACUACCAGUAGGCUACUUGAUUUAAACUGGACUGUUGCUUAGCAACCCAAACAUUUUCCUGCACACAUGCUUAACAGUCAAUGGCUGUGUCCAAAAAGGAUCCAUAACCCCUAUAUAGGCAACUAUAUGGGGGUUAGGGCCAUUUUGAGAGGUGUUCGAAACCUGAGUGAUCAAUUCCAAUGCCCCAUAUAGGCGACUCAAAAUUUCCCAUAGAGCAUUGCAAAAUGUAGUGACUAUCUGAUGGUCACUCACCAGUAGUAGGCAUCCUGCUGUAAUGUUUUUAACAGUAUUCAGAGCACUUGGCUGAGGCAGAGUGAUUCAGAAAGUGAAAAGUCCCACUGAUGUUAUGCUCUGUAUCAACACUCAGGGAAUGCCUCUUAUCUAAUCAGAUCACUGAGUCAUAACUACUAUUAUUGUUCCUUUUAUGUAACAUAUAAGAGGUCAGUGAAACGUAUCCUGAGGUACUUCACACAGCACAAGCUGCCAAACUUUAACAGAAAAAAAGAAGUCUGAUGAAAAAUAUUGGAAUUCAGGAUCUUUACACGUGGGGCCAGCUGAGGUUUUUGACAGUGAUGUUUUCUCAGAAUUAAAAGUGACUGUCAGUCAAAAGUGUGUGUUGCAGAAUGUGUUAGGCAGCGUGAUGAUCAAAGUCUGUUAAGUGUAAAAACACACAUUCAUGGACCAACUGAGGUCUCAGCUGAGAGAAACAGUACAGAUUUAUUUAUAUGUUUACAAUCAGUGUCUUAAAGAAAAAAACACUCAAAGUGACCACAUCACUUAUACAAACAUACAGGCACAUUCACACAAACACCAUAGACUGUAUAAGGUGCACACACACACACACCUACGGACACACACACACACACACACAUACGAAAGCAUGAUAGAGACACCUGGCCUGUAAAUGUUGUUUACUGUACAUCUUGUGAACACCGUCCCAUCUAAAGCUGCCUCCCAGCAGCAGGAUGUGGUGGUGCGACACGUCCUCGCUCAACAACACCCACUUCCUAUGAGUUUGAUAAACAGCCCUGUGGUUUCACUCACUCUCCUCCUGCCCGUCAGACACACAGAGGAACACACGCACACACAAACACAUACACACAAGCACACAGCAGCUCUCCAGCAUCACCAUCUGCUAAUGUGACAUAUAACCAGAGUGAGUUAUUGUGCAUAAUGUUACCCAUGCUAUCAUGAGAUUUACUGUGACAAACUUUAUAAACGCCACCACAUUCAUUUAGGCAUCCAUAACUCAGCUGCUGCUCUCUUCACCCAUUUGGUGAAAGACUAGGAGGAAUGAGCACAAGAAUGCCCUCAAAUCAUAGUAGAAUUAAAGGAGGAUGUCAGCGUGUCACACUUGUUUUAGAGGGAGUGAUGUAAGUGGAUCUGAGUUACGUCCACCACCGGACAGACAGGUUCCACUUAAUGCCCGCCUGGAUGACCCUUAAGGUUGGUGAAACAAUGGCAGUAAAUAUACGAGGACCUCUCCUCUCUUCUCCUUUCCUCUCCUCUCCUCU
rnacentral:lncRNA from 1 species